CUCGGUUCAGAUCCGAUAGGGGACU
rnacentral:tRNA from 1 species